ACUCAAAUGAAUAGACGGGGGCCCGCACAAGCAGCGGAGCGUGUGGUUUAAUUCGAUGAUACGCGAAGAACCUUACCUGGGUUUGACAUUAAGGUUGUAGGGAAGCGAAAGCGGACCGACCCUUCGGGGAGCCUUAACAGGUGCUGCAUGGCUGUCGUCAGCUCGUGUCGUGAGAUGUUGGGUUAAGUCCCGCAACGAGCGCAACCCUCGUGGCUAGUUACAAGUGUCUAGCCAGACUGCCGGUUUCAAACCGGAGGAAGGUGGGGAUGACGUCAAGUCAGCAUGGUCUUUAUGUCCAGGGCGACACACACGCUACAAUGGCCGGUACAAUGGGUUGCCCCCUCGCGAGAGGUCGCUAAUCCCCAAAGCCGGUCUCAGUUCAGAUUGCAGUCUGCAACUCGACUGCAUGAAGGCGGAGUUGCUAGUAACCGCGCGUCAGCCAUAGUGCGGUGAAUGCGUUCCCGGGCCUUGUACACACCGCCCGU
rnacentral:rRNA from 1 species